rnacentral:rRNA from 1 species
UUGUUGGAGAGUUUGAUCCUGGCUCAGGACGAACGCUGGCGGCGUGCUUAACACAUGCAAGUCGAACGCUGAAGCACCUUCGGGUGUGGAUGAGUGGCGAACGGGUGAGUAACACGUGGGUAAUCUGCCCUGCACUCUGGGAUAAGCCUUGGAAACGAGGUCUAAUACCGGAUAUCACUUU